rnacentral:lncRNA from 1 species
GAGCAGUGUCCUCACGCAUUGGACUGGCCUCCAAUGGGUGUAGUUACAGGGCCCCAACCACCUUUCACCAGAUUGUAUACUCACCUGUAUCUGACCUUAUUGCUACUCACACUCUAGGUCCCAGGAUAAAAUCCCAACAUGAUGGAGGAGUGCCCCCUCAUUAUGUGAAGCACCUGCUGGGCUUGGAACCAAAUUCAGUGAUGAAAUCCCAAGAUGAUGGAGGAGUGAACCCUGACGACAGGAAGUACCUGCUCACCUAUGAACAAAAUUUGAGGAAUAUGGAUGUAUCCUGUGGAUCCCUCAGAGAAGACAGGCAAGAGUCCACCACCAAGGCACCUCUAUGGAGGUCUCCUUCUUGGCCACGCAGCCAGGACUGAUCUCUAUGUAAUGGUGACAUUCAUUGUGAUGCUAGCCAGAGCUCAUAGUCAGGCCUGGUGCCCUGAGGCGUGCAUGUGCAUUUGAGGGCAUGCUUGCUGGCCUGGCUUUCACAGAUGUUAGCCUGUGGAAGCAGAAGAAAAUGGUACACAUAGAGCUGGCUCGGUAUCCAGAAAUAGGCUGCCUGCAAUAAUGCACUGCGGGACCCUACAAUGCUCGAAGUUAGGGCGACUUCAAGCCGUCUCCCUGGUCAGCUCCUGCAGGAGUAGGAGGCAUUCAGAGACUGAGGUGGUCGCUGAAAUCUGUUCUUCUGAUUCCCUUUUGGAAAGAGGCUGUGUGCAAGAAUCCAGUCCCAUGGGGAUUGGAAUGUAGUCUGGAUCGUGGGACUAUCCUGUGGAUCCCACAGAGAAGAGAGAGGACAGUCCACCACUGAUGCACCUCCACAGAGGUCUCCUUCUCCGCCAAACCUCACGGAAUUGUGACAUUCAUGGUAUCAAGCAGCUGUCUGAUAAAAGCUGGAUAAGAAGAGUUUCCUUCUUGGCUACUGUUACAGAAAUUUAUGGUUUUAAAACAAUCAAAGUUGCCCAGUCAUUAAAACCCAAUAGUAUUUAGAAGAAAACACUCAUGAAAUGGAUUCCCUUGAGGGUCGUCUUCCAUUAAGUGGUAAACAUUUAAUGUGGAAUAUGUACAGCCAGACCCAAGAAACCUUAGGCUGAUGAGGUACAUGGAUGUCAGGAAAAUAAGAGGCGAAUGUGCGGGACCCCAUCCAUCCCUCACCAGCUUGUAUCCUCAGCUUUAUCUGAAGUUAAAAGUAUCUUUCCCAUAAUGAAAUCCAAAGAUGAUGGAAGAGUGCCCCCUCACGGUGUGGAGGUCCUGCUUGGCUAGCAACUGAAUAUGAAGUAAAUUCAAGGGACCCUGCGGACCGGACUGCUAGUGUUUCUAAAUGGGGUGUACACUGGACAAUAAAACACUGAAAGAUUUCUGUUCCUGAAAAAAAAAAAA